GUCCACGCUGUAAACGAUGGGCACUAGGUGUCGGGGUAUCCACUCCCUCGGUGCCGCCGCUAACGCAUUAAGUGCCCCGCCUGGGAAGUACGGCCGCAAGGUUAAAACUCAAAGGAAUUGACGGGGCCCGCACAAGCGGUGGAGCAUGUGGUUCAAUUCGAUGCAACGCGAAGAACCUUACCUGGGUUUGACAUCUGGCGAAUCUUCCUGAAAGGGAAGGGUGCCCGCAAGGGAACGCCAAGACAGGUGCUGCAUGGCUGUCGU
rnacentral:rRNA from 1 species